rnacentral:rRNA from 1 species
AGAGUUUGAUCCUGGCUCAGGAUGAACGCUAGCUACAGGCUUAACACAUGCAAGUCGAGGGGAAACGACAUCGAAAGCUUGCUUUUGAUGGGCGUCGACCGGCGCACGGGUGAGUAACGCGUAUCCAACCUGCCCAUCACUUGGGGAUAACCUUGCGAAAGUAAGACUAAUACCCAAUGAUAUCUCUAGAAGGCAUCUGAAAGAGAUUAAAGAUUUAUCGGUGAUGGAUGGGGAUGCGUCUGAUUAGCUUGUUGGCGGGGUAACGGCCACCAGGCUACGAUCAGUAGGGGUUCUGAGAGGAAGGUCCCCCACAUUGGAACUGAGACACGGUCCAACUCCUACGGGAGGCCA